GAUGAAGAACGCAGCGAAAUGCGAUAAGUAGUGUGAAUUGCAGAAUUCCGUGAAUCAUCGAAUCUUUGAACGCACAUUGCGCCUUCUGGUAUUCCGGAAGGCAUGCCUGUUCGAGAGUCAUUAACAACCGUUUCGAUCCCUUUCUUUCAGAAAUUACAAAGAGGAAAAGGGUUUGGUUAUGGUGGAGGAGGGAAAGGGAGCGUUUAGCCUGUAAAAAAAGAGGCUGUGUUCCGCCUCCCCCCCAAAAUUGUACAGGCGGUCGUGUGCGCCCACGCAUCGAGGUGUUGUAAAAGCUGCCACGGCACUGUUCACCUGUGCAGUGCGAGAUUGGCCAGCCGGUUUAAAAACCCCUCCAAACAAGCAAAGGUUGACCUCGGAUCAGGUAGGGAUACCCGCUGAACUUAAGCAUAUCAAUAAGCGGAGGA
rnacentral:misc_RNA from 1 species